rnacentral:rRNA from 1 species
AACGACCAUACCACGCUGAAACACGGUUACUCGUUCCGAUCACCGAAGUUAAACAACGUUGGGCCCGGUUAGUACUUAGAUGGGGGACCGCUU